rnacentral:ncRNA from 16 species
ACGGGUUCGCGCAACUGGCGCUGCGAGAUGGGCCACCAUCAGGGAACGCGAACCGCGCUUCGACGUCGCUUCCCGUCGGCCGGAGCCGCGAACCGCCGCGCGCUUGGGCAUUACCA